CUAUAAUUGAUAGUCCACGAGUUUAAUUACUUAUUUUAUAUUAGUUUGCAUAUCGUCGUAGCUUGGAUAUUUUUAUAGAAAAUAAAUAUUCAUAAUUUUAAAAUAGAUAAUAAAUCAGAUCAAGAUGUAGCUUAUAAAUAAGAAGAGAUGGGUUACAUUAAAUAUAUUUAUAAUGGAUUAAUAAUUGAAAUUUAUUAUGAAGGUGGAUUUGGCAGUAAUAUUAUUUAUACUAAUAGUAUGACCGUAGCUCUAAAAUAUGUACAUAUCGCCCGUCACUUUCAUUACAAAGUGAAAUAAGUCGUAACAAAGUAGAUGUACUGGAAAGUGUAUCUGGAAAACAAAUUAAAGCUUUAGAAAGCAUUUUAGUUACAUUAAAAAGUUUAUUGUAGAUCCAAUAUAAUUUGAAUAGAAUAUAUUAUUAAAUUUAAAAUAUUUUAAAUUUAAAUAAAAUAAGAAUAUUUAUAUUUUAUUAAUAUUUAUGAAAAAAUAUAUUUAAUUAUAGUUAAAUAGUAUUGUGAAAGAUUUAUAUAAAAUUAUUAUAAGAAAAAUUAAUUUUUUGUACCUUGUGUAUCAGGGUUUAUCUAAAAUAAAUUUAAUUAUUAAAUUAUCUCGAAUUAAUAAGAGUUAUUAUUAUAUUUUUAUUUUGUGGCAUAAAAAUUAUUAAUAUAAUAAUAGAGGUGAAACGCUAUUCGAUUAUUAAUAUAUCUAGUUUUUUAAGAAAAAAAUUUAAUUUUAUUAUUAAUUAAUAUUUAAUUUAUUGUAUAAUUAUAUAUUAUUAAUAUUUUAUAUUAUAAGGGAUAAGCUUUAUAAUAAAAUUUUUUAAAAUAUUAUUUUAUAUUAUUUAAGUAGAAAUGUAAGUUUUUAUCUUUAAAAUUGUGUUGUAACUAUUUUGAUUUUAAAUAUACUUUAUAUUAUUUUAAAAUUUUUUAUUAAAAUUUAAAUUUUAAUAAUAAAAAUUUAGGAAUAGUGAUAUAAUUAGUAUAAAAUUAUGUAUUUAAAUAUUUAAUUUAAAGGUUAAGCAAAGGAACUCGGCAAAUUAUUUUUCACCUGUUUAUUAAAAACAUGGCUUUUUGAUUAUAAUUUAAAGUCGGGCCUGCCCUAUGAAUUUUAAAUGGCCGCGGUAUCUUGACCGUGCAAAGGUAGCAUAAUCAUUAGUUUUUUAAUUGAAAGCUGGAAUGAAAGGUUUGAUGAAAAAAUGACUGUCUCUGUUUAAAUUAAUUAAAAAUUUAUUUUUAAGUAAAAAAGCUUAAAUUUUAUUAGAAGACGAGAAGACCCUAUAGAGUUUUAUUAUUUUUUAAUAUAAGAUUUUAAGAAUUACU
rnacentral:rRNA from 1 species